rnacentral:lncRNA from 7 species
AGAGCCAAUGACGAACGGCGGCCGGGUGACAGAGCGGAGCGCUCCGGAGGCGGAGAGGAGGAGCAGAGCAGUUGCCAAGUGAUCUUCUCCACAGCACCCACGAACUUUGGCCUUACACUGAAGAGGACUCGUCAAAUGCUUUGGGAGAUACAACACGGAAUUGGAAGAGAAGCAUGGAUCUACCUGAAGGGCAGUUCGCUGCAUUCUUGGUGUGUGGAGGAACGGGUCCCGUGCUCACUGUUGUUACUCCCACAUAGGCGGACUCUGUAACUGAUUAUAUGUGGGUAGGGCCCUAUUGAAAUUAAGGAGAUUCUGCAGUAGUGCGGGGUUCUGUUUGUGUGACCCUACUGUGCCUUCUUACUGUGAAUUCUGUCAGUGUAUCAUGGGUUGUGCUGGAACCUGCCUUUUGGGAUAAUUACCAAAUAAUAUAUUCCUCAAAACUUCUUAAUGGCACUGAGGCUUUGUGGAUAGUUGGUCACAUGAUGAGAAAAUUCAGCUGCCCAUCAAGACUACUUCUACCUGAUACCUUUCCUUCAGUAUCAAGAGGUUGACUCUGAUUUUGAUCAACAUAUGAUGCCAGCUUCCAUCAUUCAGUUGUUAUAUUUUCACACUGGAUACUUUCUCCUCAGCUGCCUCUCGUGUAGUAGUUGACUCCUUCUUAAACAGAACUGUUUGCUGUCUCCCUUUAAUAUCUUCUUGAAAGUUUUAUGUACUGUGAAGCUUAUGACAAUCCAACUAGAAAAUAAGUAUGUUGUACAAGUAUACUAAUACCGAUGCUUGUCACAGUAAUACUUUGUCAUUGCCUUUGUACUCUGCAGUAAUCUCUGUUGUCUCUUCACGUAGAAUUCAUGUGGACUUUUUGUUGUAUGCUUAUUCAUGGCCCAGCAUAACGAGAAGUGGUCCAGGGUGUAGCCUUCUAGGAUUUGUGGUAAUGCAAAUAAAUAAUAAUGAACACUUGUUGGAUACUGCAGUGUAGCCUCUGGAUUCUGCUGAGCCCUGACUCGCAUCAUACUUAAUGCAGAAAUAAGGUGCUCACAAAAAUAGGGGCCUCACAAAAGGGAGAGAAGUGAGUUUCAGCCAACACAGAAAAUGCUAGCACCCCAGAAGUCUUCUCAGCUGUCGAACCCAAGUCAAUAGCUACUGGCAUUGUGUCCAGAAAGCACCCCUCUUUAUCUUCUCCACAGCAGUAACAGCAGACUCUCCCUCCUCAGAGGAAGUUAAUGUGAGUAUUAUGAAUCCUCAGUGUAUACAAGAGAUUAAAGGACUUCAUAUACU